GCGGCGUGCCUAAUACAUGCAAGUCGAACGCACUGACGUCGACAGAAGGUGCUUGCACUGGAAGUUGAUUGACGUGAGUGGCGGACGGGUGAGUAACACGUGGGUAACCUGCCCUUAAGCGGGGGAUAACAUUUGGAAACAGAUGCUAAUACCGCAUAAAAGUUGAGAUCACAUGGUCUUAAUUUGAAAGACGGCCUUUGGCUGUCACUUAAGGAUGGACCCGCGGCGUAUUAGCUAGUUGGUGAGAUAAUAGCCCACCAAGGCGAUGAUACGUAGCCGACCUGAGAGGGUAAUCGGCCACAUUGGGACUGAGACACGGCCCAAACUCCUACGGGAGGCAGCAGUAGGGAAUCUUCCACAAUGGACGAAAGUCUGAUGGAGCAACGCCGCGUGAGUGAAGAAGGUUUUCGGAUCGUAAAACUCUGUUGUUGGAGAAGAACAGGGACUAGAGUAACUGUUAGUCCUUUGACGGUAUCCAACCAGAAAGCCACGGCUAACUACGUGCCAGCAGCCGCGGUAAUACGUAGGUGGCAAGCGUUGUCCGGAUUUAUUGGGCGUAAAGCGAGCGCAGGCGGUUUCUUAAGUCUGAUGUGAAAGCCUUCGGCUUAACCGAAGAAGUGCAUCAGAUACUGGGAAACUUGAGUGCAGAAGAGGAAAGUGGAACUCCAUGUGUAGCGGUGAAAUGCGUAGAUAUAUGGAAGAACACCAGUGGCGAAGGCGGCUUUCUGGUCUGUAACUGACGCUGAGGCUCGAAAGUAUGGGGAGCGAACAGGAUUAGAUACCCUGGUAGUCCAUACCGUAAACGAUGAAUGCUAAGUGUUGGAGGGUUUCCGCCCUUCAGUGCUGCAGCUAACGCAUUAAGCAUUCCGCCUGGGGAGUACGACCGCAAGGUUGAAACUCAAAGGAAUUGACGGGGGCCCGCACAAGCGGUGGAGCAUGUGGUUUAAUUCGAAGCUACGCGAAGAACCUUACCAGGUCUUGACAUCUAGCGCCAAUCCUAGAGAUAGGACGUUCCCUUCGGGGACGCUAAGACAGGUGGUGCAUGGUUGUCGUCAGCUCGUGUCGUGAGAUGUUGGGUUAAGUCCCGCAACGAGCGCAACCCUUAUGAUUAGUUGCCAGCAUUUAGUUGGGCACUCAAAUCAGACUGCCGGUGACAAACCGGAGGAAGGU
rnacentral:rRNA from 1 species